AUUGAACGCUGGCGGCAUGCCUUACACAUGCAAGUCGAACGGCAGCACGGGGGCAACCCUGGUGGCGAGUGGCGAACGGGUGAGUAAAGCAUCGGAACGUGCCCUAGAGUGGGGGGAUAACGUAGCGAAAGUUACGCUAAUACCGCAUAUUCUGUGAGCAGGAAAGCAGGGGAUCGCAAGACCUUGCGCUCUGGGAGCGGCCGAUGUCGGAUUAGCUAGUUGGUGGGGUAAAGGCCUACCAAGGCGACGAUCCGUAGCGGGUCUGAGAGGAUGAUCCGCCACACUGGGACUGAGACACGGCCCAGACUCCUACGGGAGGCAGCAGUGGGGAAUUUUGGACAAUGGGCGAAAGCCUGAUCCAGCCAUGCCGCGUGAGUGAAGAAGGCCUC
rnacentral:rRNA from 1 species